UGGUUGAUCCUGCCAGUAGUCAUAUGCUUGUCUCAAAGAUUAAGCCAUGCAUGUCUAAGAAUAAACCGAAUAUGGUAAAUCCGCGAAUGGCUCAUUACAACAGCCUUAGUUUGUUGGAUCUAAAUCCACAGCAAUAACUGUGGAAAAGCCAGAGCUAACUCUGCAUUCAAGUCCCGACUUCGGAAGGGACGCAUUUGUUAGAACAAGACCAAUUGGCUUCGGCCAUCUAUUGGUGAAUCUGAGCAACUUAGCAGAUCGCAUGGGCUCGUCCCGGCGACAUAUCCUUCAAGUGUCUGCCUUAUCAACUGUCGAUGGUAGUUUAUUGGACUACCAUGGUUGUAACGGGUAACGGAGAAUUAGGGUUCGACUCCGGAGAGGGAGCCUGAGAUACGGCUACCACAUCCAAGGAAGGCAGCAGGCGCGCAAAUUACCCACUCUCAGUUCGAGGAGGUAGUGACGAAAAAUAACGAGACAGUCUUCUAUGAGGUCUGUCAUCGGAAUGGGUACAAUUUAAACCCUUUAACGAGGAUCUAUUGGAGGGCAAGUCUGGUGCCAGCAGCCGCGGUAAUUCCAGCUCCAAUAGCGUAUAUUAAAGUUGUUGCGGUUAAAAAGCUCGUAGUUGGAUCUGCGACCAUCAAGACCGGUAGCCCAUUGGGUUUCACUGGUGCUUGUGGUCUCCUUGCUGGUCUUUCCUUGGUGCUCUUAACUGAGUGCCUUGGUUGGCUAGUGCUUUUACUUUGAAAAAAUUAGAGUGCUCAAAGCAGGCGUUUGCCUGAAUAGUGGUGCAUGGAAUAAUGGAAUAGGACCUCGGUUCUAUUUUGUUGGUUUUCGGAGCUCGAGGUAAUGAUUAAGAGGGACAGACGGGGGCAUUCGUACUGCUACGUUAGAGGUGAAAUUCUUGGAUCGUAGCAUGACGAACAACUGCGAAAGCAUUUGCCAAGAAUGUUUUCAUUAAUCAAGAACGAUAGUUAGAGGUUCGAAGGCGAUCAGAUACCGCCCUAGUUCUAACCGUAAACGAUGCCAACUAGCAAUCCGCUGGCGUUAAUUUUGACUCAGCGGGCGGCUGCCUGGAAACGAUAAGUUUUUCGGUUCCGGGGGAAGUAUGGUUGCAAAUCCGAAACUUAAAGGAAUUGACGGAAGGGCACCACCAGGAGUGGAGCCUGCGGCUUAAUUUGACCCAACACGGGAAAACUCACCCGGCCCGGACACUGUAAGGAUUGACAGAUUGAAAGCUCUUUCACGAUUCAGUGGGUGGUGGUGCAUGGCCGUUCUUAGUUGGUGGAGCGAUUUGUCUGGUUAAUUCCGAUAACGAACGAGACUCUAGCCUACUAAAUAGUGCGUGGAUCAAUAAGUCCUCGCUACUUCUUAGAGGGACAGGCGGCGUCUAGCCGUACGAAAUUGAGCAAUAACAGGUCUGUGAUGCCCUUAGAUGUCCGGGGCUGCACGCGCGCUACACUGUAGUAAGCAACGUGCUUCAAAACCUUUCCUGAAAAGGAUGGGUAACCCCAGCAAAUUACUACGUGCUUGGGAUAGAGAUUUGCAAUUUUCUCUCUUGAACGAGGAAUUCCUAGUAAGUGCGAGUCAUCAGCUCGCGUUGAUUACGUCCCUGCCCUUUGUACACACCGCCCGUCGCUACUACCGAUUGGGAAAGUUUCAGAGUGUCUAGGACUGGCGAUUGUUCGGCUUCACGGCCUUACUUUAGCCGGAAAUAGACGCGAUGUAAUUUUUCUAGAGGAAGUAAAAGUCGUAACAAGGUU
rnacentral:rRNA from 1 species